CUACGGGUCGCUCCAGUGAGGAAUAUUGCACAAUGGGGGGAACCCUGAUGCAGCAACGCCGCGUGGAGGAUGACGCAUUUCGGUGUGUAAACUCCUUUUAUAUGUCAAGAAAAUGACGGUAGCAUAUGAAUAAGCACCGGCUAACUCCGUGCCAGCAGCCGCGGUAAUACGGAGGGUGCAAGCGUUAUUCGGAAUCACUGGGCGUAAAGGACGCGUAGGCGGGUUGGAAAGUCAGGUGUGAAAUCCCACAGCUUAACUGUAGAACUGCACUUGAAACUUCUAAUCUAGAGUAUGGGAGGGGGAGAUGGAAUUAGUGGUGUAGGGGUAAAAUCCGUAGAUAUCACUAGGAAUACCUAAAGCGAAGGUGAUCUCCUGGAACAUUACUGACGCUAAGGCGUGAAAGCGUGGGGAGCAAACAGGAUUAGAUACCCUCGUAGUC
rnacentral:rRNA from 1 species